UACGUAGGGUGCAAGCGUUAAUCGGAAUUACUGGGCGUAAAGGGCGCGUAGGCGGGCUCGUAUGUCGAUUGUGAAAGCCCUGGGCUUAACCCGGGAAUGGCAGUCGAAACUGCGAGUCUUGAAUGCUUGAGAGGAUGGCGGAAUUCCCGGUGUAGAAGUGAAAUUCGUAGAUAUCGGGAAGAACACCUGAGGCGAAGGCGGCUAUCUGGCGAUGCAUUGACGCUGAGGCGCGAAAGCGUGGGGAGCAAACAGG
rnacentral:rRNA from 1 species